rfam:Picea glauca, whole genome shotgun sequence.
GGGUAUGCCUAUAGCAUAGCGUUAAUGUAUCGGAUCCCAUUAGAACUCUAUAGUUGAGCACGCUUGGGCUAGAGUAGUAUUGGGAUGGGUGACUGCUCAGAAAGUCCUAGUGUUUUAAAUG